UUUCUACUCAUAGCAUUGAUGCGACACGGGUACAAGCGCCGACACGUCAUGGAAACAACAAGGCAAUCGUCAUAUCUAACAUUUGGGACCUCGGGUUAAUUGCGACCUUACUUGUCGUUAAAAGGAGGUCCGCUCAACCCCUUCCCCUCUCAAGUCUCUGCUCUUGCUCACACAAAUACACUUCUGAACACAGUGUCAACAGCAACCAUACUCUAAUGCAUGUUGGGUGUUCGGAAUAUGUAUCACCUAUAGUCUUUUAAUUCAUCAGCGAAAAAUAGUCGUCUAAUUUCAAGAAACGUUGAGAUGGAAUUUCUUCCUGGCUUCACAUGUGUAGGAAUCAGAGGCACCAGGAAAUUAACAAGAACUACUCCAGAUAAUGUUCCUUGAGAGAUGGAAAUUUGUGGAACUUCCGUGGCCUGUUGAUGUUGUUGUUUAGGUCCCCAUAAAUUAGGUAUGGCACACUAUUCAGACAUGCGUACACCCAUCACAACUACACGCGGCUCCUGAAUUACUUCCUCAUCAGAAAAUUCUGGUGGUAUUAUUAAUGACCAUGACAAAAUCCCUCUCGAAAUAAAAGUCUAUGCAUCACACAUGAUUCAAAACACAACUUGGUUGUACAAUUGUCUUGUCAUUAGGUAGAUAUUUAUCCUGCAUAGAGGGAGGUGGAGCUAGGUUGUGGACGGAUGCUUCUGUAGCUUAGUUUUUUGUUUCAUUCACUCUUAUUUCUGACUAUUUACUAGUUAUGUGGCCUUUGAUAUAAACAUUAUGUGCAUCCUGGAGUUGACACCCUCGAAACGAGUUUUUGGCCUAUUCUUUACUCCAUUCAUUCCUAAUUAUAAGGUCUAAUAUUUUUAGAUAGGCCGGAUGUGCCAUCAUUUUACUAUUUCAUUCAUGCUUUUUUUUGCACUUUGGGCUUUUUAAGCUCUUUGGAUCUAAGAUACUAUUUUAUUUAUCUUUAAUAAUAUGGCUGCAUGCAUCGAUUGAUGCAGAGGCCGGGGGCUCGCUUCCUCCUUAUCAAAAAAAAACUUUAACCAAAUUUAUAGACAAAAAAAUCAACAUCUAGAAUACCAAAUCAUUAUCACUAGAUUCACUAUAAGAUAUAUUUUUAUAUUUUAUAUUGUAAAUAUUUAUAUAUUUUGAUGUACAGUUCGUCAAAUAUAGACAAUGUUUGACUUUAAAAAAAUUAAUACACCAUUAUUUAUGAACGGAGGGAGUAUGUAUGAUCAAUCCUCUACAAUCUUCUUCUAAUAAACCACACACAUGAUUAUGCACAUAACAAGAUGAGCAGAAAGGGGGACUCAGCUGUGAUUUCACAAUGCCUUCACUCACUUGAUUGCAUGAUACAAGAAGAACGCAUCUACGGAAAAAGUACAAGCGAGCACCUAUGAGGCUGACUGAUAAAAGCACCUGCCUUCAAAAGCUUCCUCUGGCCGCAUCUUCUCCCUAUAGGGUGCAUCCUUGGGCAUAUGGCCCCCUUGUAGGUCGUCCUGAUCUAAUUCCACUUCUAUAAAUUCUGAAAUAUUUUAACAACAUCCAAGACAUGUACGAAACACCCUUUUCACCGUCGCAAGUCUUUGUUCCGCCAUGAUCCCAUCUGAAGACCUUUUUCGGUGCCGUGUCAGAGGAGGAAUCCAUCACGGACGCCAUCAACAUCAACCUUGAUGUCUCCAUGAUGAUGUGUGAGUAGUCCACCAUAGGCCAACGGGUCCAUAGCUAGUACCUAGAUGUCUUCUUCUCUCUCUAUGAUCUUCAAUACAACUUUUGUCGCGAUUCUCUCGGUGAUCUAUUCGAUGUAAUCCUCUUUUAUGGUGUGUUUGUUGGUACUUGAUGAAUUGUGGGUUUAUGAUCAGAUUACUCAUUGAAAGUAAUGGAGUUUCCUCUGAAUUCUAUUAUGCAUUAUUUUUUAGUUUUUUUUGCGGGGCUAUGCAUUUCUCUUCAAUCUAUGUGUUUGGUUUGGCCAACUAGAUUUAUUUAGCUUCGAUGGAAGUGGUGCUCUAUAUCUCAGUGAUAAAAAGGGACACGCAAUAUAUUAGUAUUGUUCUCACUAAGGAUAAAAUGACAAGGUCUCAGCAUAUUGCUUGUCUUACUUUGUCUACAUCAUACCAUCUUUCUCCAAGCAUUCUUAUGUUUAUCCUGAACUUGAGAUCUAGAGAGGCAAGCAUAGAAGCGCUCUCGAAGUGGAGUAACCGUAGUAGAUGCAGGCAGGAGUCGGACUACAUGUUUAUGGACAUGAUGCCUAUAUACACAUAAUCAUCGUCCUGAAUAACAUCUCAUAACUAUGCGGUAUUCUAUCAGUUGUCCAACAAAAAUUUGUCUAUCCACUGUGUGCUAUGUUCGAAAGUGAAGGCUCUAGCGAAGAGUGUGGUCCCCCGGUCUAGUUAAUCCUAUUGCAAAAAUCCAAAAUUAGCUUGUUGUUCUUUUAUUUUAUUCAUUCACUUUUGCUAUUUAUAUUAUCUAUCUAUCAGAAUUAAUCAUUGCAUAUAACGAGUUCAAGGGGUUUAUUAAUCCUCUUGCCCGCAUUGGGUGCAAGUGUUUGGUCUUGUGUGUGUAUAGGUGCUGACGAAGAGAGUUUGCUUGAUUCUCCUAUUGUUUUCCAGUUGACGGCUUGUACUGGACGUCUUGGUCUUUGUCAGCAGUGGUGUUGGGGCAGAGGGAUUAACUUGCAAGGUGGGGUCGUCCUUCUUGUCAUCCUCCCCCUAGCGAUCAACUAGGCUUGUGGUUGUGCUCCGGCGUGAACUACUCUGCCUAUGGAGGGCAUGGCAUCGUACGAUCUAGGACGAGAAGGCAGUGGGUCCUUUUAGAAGGC
rnacentral:lncRNA from 1 species